AAGAACAAAUUCUGGUGAAUUUCAGUAAUUUGAAGCGACGAAGGAGGAGACCCGCGGGGGGGGGGAGACGACGACUUUUAUGCAUUUUGUAACCAAAAAUAAGAAGAAAGCAAGAAAUGCCGGCCUCGUCGAAAAA